CCCAACCUAAUAACAAGAGAUAUCCAGAAAGGUUGGAUGGCAUUUUGGGGGUUAAGUAAGGAGAACAGGUGGAGUAUCAAUCCCAAAGUGAGAUAAGGAAGCAGUCAGAGGUUCAUUUAUCUCCAUGUGAGGAACAAACCUGUGGAGGAGCAGGCAGAGAGCUCCAAUUUACAGGGGGAGGUGUUGUGUACGAGCAGCUCAUCAGCUCUGGGAGCCAAAGAACCACGGGCCAUGGCAAAAGGGAUGAGCAGGAGGUGGUUUUGGGGUCUGGGAAGGUGCAGCCACCUCAGCUUUGCUCCUGUGGCUCCAUGGGAAGUCACCAAGUGCAGGAGCUCACAGAGAACAAAACGCAACCAUGAACAAAAGCACCCCUGCCAAAAUACUUAACAGCAGCAUUGCCCUAAAUGGAACACAAAUAUAUUAAACUCAUCAACUUUCAUUUAUUUUGUGCUCUUCACUGCAAAAUUGGCAGCAAUUUUGGUUGCAUAAAUGCAACAAUACUUGGUAAGAAAAUGGGACUUAUAUAACAUUUCUGCUCUCAUAAUAAUGUAACAGGAUAUCUGAGGUUGGGAGAAUUUUCAACUGUUUAAAUUACAUAUAAAUUACCUAUUUCCAAACAUUUGACAGGAAUACACCCUCGAAAUGUUUUUGCAGCCAACAUCUCAAUAACAAUUUGAGGUAAAAUUGCAGUUGAAUGAAAUUCUCUCACUGCUUUAAGUGAAAAGAAGAAAUUGGACAGAAGUGGUGCUCAGACUCUCAGCCAAAGCCUUCUGCAGGGAUAUUCAUGGGAUUACACUUGCAUUGAGUCCCCCCAGAGCCUCUGCUUUGUUUGUGACAGCAACCAAAAUACUCCCAGAAAGGAUUAGAAGUGCUUUUCAAGGUUAGUGCAGAAAUUGGAGUUUGUCAGAAGAUGGUGCUGUUAGGCUGUUUUUAUAAAAGAAAAUUACUUUUAUUUACAAAAAUAAGUUUAAUCUGUGUGGAGACCCCAAACUGUUGAUUUGUUUGAAACAUGAACAUUUUAAUAAAUAAGUGAUUUUGCAUUUGUCAAGACAGAGCUUUGACCUUGAACUACUUCACUAAGUGUGCACUGAUGCACUCGGGAAAUCUUUUCUCACUGGGAUUGAGUUUUGUUUCUGACAAAUUAAAUAAAAUUCGGGUUCAGAAUUAUUCUAGCCAAAUAUGGGAUAACAUGCAUGGCUUCAGAAAUCACUUUUUUUUCCAGUUAUUGGGUAUAUCAUAGAUAGGCUUAAUAAUUUCCCAUUGGCAAUGAACUGACUGCAUGGGCUGCAAGGCCAAGGUCAGACAGUCCCAUUAAACACACAAAGAGCUGAGCAUUGUUGAGGGCAUCCAGGGGAAAGCAACUCAGGAAAAAUUCCAAUACCACACCCAUACAAACAUCAAAAAAUGUUCUUAUAAGUAAUCUACAUUUUCUGUUGAAAAUGCAAUCUUACUGUAUCUCCAGCAAUUCUCAAGAGAUAUUCUAUGUGAAUACUUCUGAAAAAACCUAUUAUGACCUCCAACCAUUUUUUUCUUUAUUAUAUUUCUGAUAUUUAAUUUUUAGUAUUUUUCAUAGCAGGUUUCAAUAAAGGGGAAACUUGAUCAGCUGCUGUGGGGUGGAUAUUUCCAGCUUUUUCUUCUAACCAACCACUUGAAAUAUAUUUCCAGUUUCCUGGCUGAUUUAAAGCUUUGUCUUUAAGACCAGAUUGGAGAGAAGAUCUGCUUAAGAGACUCUUGUCUUGGAGAGUGGGAAGCGGGCACUUGGGGAAGGAAGCCUAAGAACAAAGCAAAUAAUUCUGGUUCUUUCCAUGGCUCCCUGCAGCCUGCAGUUUCCAGGCUAAUCUGAACACUUGACUCACUUGUUCUCUGGGCUCAGCUGCUUGGGAAGCUGUGCAGUAUUGGAAAAGAAAUAAAAUCAGAACGAAGAGUUACAGAACCAAGCACUGUCUUCUUUCCUUCCUGUUGGAAUAAGAGGCUCUGAAAAGUCAGAUUUAAGAUGCUACAAAAUGCUGGCAAGCAACAAGAAGGAAAACCAGCUGCUGUUUCUCCUCUCCAAGGCACAUUCCAUGACUCAGCUUCUCCAAGUGCCACCUGUGUGAUUCCAAGCCAUGACAGAGCAGCAUUUACCCACCACACCAAUUCCUCAUUGUUACAGCAUUUUGUUCAGCUCAGAGCAGGAUCGCUCAGCUCCACUCCCUCUCACAGAACCACAGAAUUGUUAGGGCUGAAGGUGACACAGGAAGGUGCCCAGGGUGUUUGGGAUGUCUCCAGAGAAGCAGCUCUUCCAGGGCUCUGCCUCCUCCAUGGUAAGAACUUCUUCCUUGUUUUGAGGUGGAACUUGUUGUGUUUUAUU